rnacentral:rRNA from 1 species
CAGGCAGUGGCGGACGGGUGAGGAACGCGUAGGGAUGUGUCCAAGGGUGGGGGAUAACGUUGGGAAACUGACGCUAAUACCGCAUGUGAUCUGAGGAUCAAAGCCGCGAGGCGCCUGUGGAGCAACCUGCGUCCGAUUAGGUAGUUGGUGGGGUAAUGGCCUACCAAGCCUGCGAUCGGUAGCUGGUCUGAGAGGACGACCAGCCACACUGGGACUGAGACACGGCCCAGACUCCUACGGGAGGCAGCAGUGGGGAAUAUUGGACAAUGGGCGCAAGCCUGAUCCAGCAAUGCCGCGUGGAUGAAGAAGGUCUUCGGAUUGUAAAGUCCUUUCGACGGGGACGAUGAUGACGGUACCCG